GUGCUCAUUUAGGCAGCACAUAUACUAAAAUUGGAACUAUACAGAGAAAAUUAGCAUGGCCCCUGCACAAGGAUGACACACAAAUUCGUGAAGCAUUCCAUAUUUUU
rnacentral:snRNA from 1 species